UACAGAGGUGGCAAGCGUUGUUCGGAAUUACUGGGCGUAAAGCGCGUGUAGGCGGGUCGGAAAAGUCGGGCGUGAAAGCCCUAGGCUCAACCUAGGAACUGCACCCGAAACUCCCCGGUCUUGAGUGGUGGAGAGGGAAGUGGAAUUCCUGGUGUAGAGGUGAAAUUCGUAGAUAUCAGGAGGAACACCAGUGGCGAAGGCGGCUUCCUGGACACCAACUGACGCUGAGACGCGAAAAGCGUGGGGGAGCAAAACAGG
rnacentral:rRNA from 1 species